GGCAGUGACAUUAUUUGUAGUUGUUGUUCUCAUGUGUUAUUUGUGUGCAAAUUAUGGGUUUUAGGUCCAUUUCUUAUUCACACUAGAGGGCUCCUUCACACUUGCUUAGCAGUGUGGCAGCACCUAGAAUUCAGAGCAGUGGAAUCACAGGCAGUGCAAGCAUUUGCCUGCAUUUCAGGACAUUACAGGCUCCUGUGUCUUCUCCUCACAGAAAUUGCUUCUGCCUAUUGUAACCCUGGCACCUGAUGAGCAGUGUCAGACUGGCCUGUGGUGAUUUUCUCUCCUUCUUACCACAUAAGGUGGGAAGAACAGAAACACUACAGUACUAUUUCUGAGCAAAGAGAAGGUAAGAUUUGCUCCCUAUUCAGCCUAAAGGUACUCAUGAGAAUAAUAAAUGUCCUAAUCAAGCCAGCCGAUAAACUGCAAAUCUUACCUUGAAUGUUUCCUAAAAUUAGGUAAGAUAGUUGGAGACCAUUGAAAGUGAUUUGGACCUGUCUUUCUGCAUUUGGAGCGGAGGAGUUGAUUUAAUUUCAGUACUGGGGACUAGUGGUUUUACAGGUUGAGGAAAAUGCUCGUGCUAACUCUGCAUGUUGCAGUAGUCUUUCCUGUCAGUAUUUGUGUAUUGGACUACAGUAGAUCAGAUAACAGAAAAUAACUAGAAAAUUAGAAGAAACCUUAACUAUUGGAAGAAUGCACCCCCAUGUGACAGCUAUUCUUGACCUUUUUUUUCAGACUAGAAUUUGAGGUUAUUUGGCCUGUAAAUACAGCCCUGAAAUUUGAAAACUAAGUUGGUAGAGAAGAUGUGAAAAUCAGGAAGCAAAACACUUCUCAAAUAUCUGUCCUGUUCUUGGUUAUCUGUCCUCUUUUUCACAACAUUAAAAGUUUUCUUAAUUUUCUAUACAGAAAUUUCUUAGUAUUAAUCAGAUUCGGCUUUCUUAAUGCCUAAUUUAAGUGAAGUGUUAUGGCAGAAAAACCUGAAAUUUACUGACAAAAUAGCUGUGUGCUAUGGUUCAGUAACCUUUUUAUUUUCUAAAAUAACUGAAUUCUCUUCAGUGUGAGUGGCUGUGUAGAAAACAGCAUCUGUUCAAGUAACAAUAUCGGAAAUUGUUCCCAAAACAUUGAGUUGUGUUGGUAUUUUAAAACACUGCUACUGUUUUCCACAGCUUCGGCACUCAAGCUCUGCCCUGCUCUAUGUCAGCUUCGUGCUUGGGAAAUGUCACUGGAGUGACAGCUGGUGAAGUGAAGGCAAGGAGCAGAGAAGAAGCGCUGGAAAAGGCAAAGAGCAGAGACAAAGCACUGAAAAAAACCACUUGGAACAUAUUCCUGUGUUGUAGGGAGAAAGGAUGCCAGAAGUAAAGAAAGCAGCACAUGGGUUUUAAUAUGCACAACGUGUUCCAUCCUAUGUAAAAGACUGUUCAGUGCUGGUUGCAUUUAAACAUCCGUGCACGAUGGGCAGCACAUUUGUCAGGACUCCUUGCCAUUCUUCAAUAAAGCAGCAACAAGGAAGAUUAUCUUUCUCCUACUCCAGGAUGACGUCACUGCACCGAUAAGUAGGACUUAGAAAAGGUUUAUGUUCUUAGCACUAGAUUUAAAGAAUAUAAUGCUCCUUUUAAUAUAGUAAUUUCUAGCUCUACUAAUUUUCAAUGUUUAUCUUGGAAAAUCAUUAGGAAAUUCAGAAAUUAUUUCUCUGGUUGAGAGGAAAAGAGUGGGAUGAUCUAAGGAUAAAUAAGCUUUCUGGUCUGGAGUUCCUCUACCACUGUAUCACAUCUGGCAAGUAUCCACAGGGUCUUUCAAAGUGAUAGGCUGUAAAAUUGCUAAAAAAUAUAGUCUUUAAAAACUCAAAAUAUUGUUACAUUUUUGUGUUGAAGUGGGUAGAUAGUUACUGAGUACUUGUUUCCUAAUAGAACAGACAUUUUUAAUUUAUUAUUUCACAUUUGAAACUUUCACACUAGACAAAAUACUGGAUUAAGAGAAAGUAUCAGUGACAUGACACUUGUUCUUUCCUUUUAAUCAAAAGAAAACAGAUAUUAUUGUACCAUAUCCUGCAUCUAGCUCAGAUUAAUUUUGACUCAUUUCCUUACCGAAAUUGCUGAAAACACUCUAGAGUUCUUCAUGGACAAUUCAUUCAUUAUUGUCUCAUUCUCUGGCACAAUUAUAUUAAGUUGUAUUUAGUGGAUGGAGAAAAAGAGAGAUGAAGAGUUAGCUCUUCUGGAUGGGCUAUAUGGCAUCUGCUAUAGCUCAAACUGGAGUCAGUGGGGGGCAGCCCAAUCCCUAAAGAGCAAUUCAUCCUGAUUUACUGCACAAAGUGCAUAUAAGUGUAUGAGAAUGAAAUACUUCUGCAAAAGAAAACUAAAUAUCCACUACCAUCAUCUGAGCAACAGAACACAAAGUUUGGUAAUUGUACACAUAAAUUCUGAUUGUUUGGCAUGGUAAUAUUGCCACUAAUUGUUGGAGCAGGCAAUGACACCUAAUCUCCAGAUUGCCUGACAUUUGCUAAUUUUAAUCUCUGCCUUAACACUGUUAUAAUUUAACCAAACUGUAACUGUCUGGAUUAUAGGUUUUGUGAAUUGUGCAUAUUCUAUAGGUUCAUGAGGUGUUAUGUUUUCUUCUUGUAGAGGAGUUGGAAAGAAAAAUGUGCAGCUAAAACCAUUGAGUCAUUGCUGACAGUAAGAUUGGAAGCGGUUCAAUUUUGCCCCUGUUAAAAUGUAACCCACUCCUCCCUGAAGUUUAGGCCUGUUUUACUGAAUAAUUUUUGUGCUUCCACAAAAUUCCAGGGAAUUAUCAUCUAGCAACAUUCCUGCCGUUUAGAGUGGCUGCUGUCAUUUGUUACUGCUGCCAUAGGUGAACCUGCUGUCUGAUAUUGACAUUUCCCCAUCUGAACAUUGACGUGAGGUUUCUCUUAAAAACAUUUUUUCUUGGAAUCUACUGGUACUGGAGUUAAACAAGGUGUGGCUGCUUUGUGGUCUGGUGGGUUGGUGUGGGUGUUUCUGUAGAGAUGCUUCACGGUCUGCACCAACCAGGGCUGCAAUAUCGAUAUUUCUGUAUCUGUCCACUGAUGUGCAAUGGCUACUACAGGGGCAGUCACUGCCCAACCCAGACCUGGUAAGGAAAAUGUGACAAGGUUGCAUGUGCUGUGCGGUUGUGAGAGCAGAACUGUCCUUGAAACCUGGUUCAAACAUGAUUCACCCUCAAAGGAGUCAAAGUCCUAGUUCAGGCGGGAUACCUGAAGGCAGCAGAAGGCCUUGAAAAGUAAUGUACUGUUCUUCAUAUAAAGAUGAAGACUAGCAUAUUCUGAUACCAGUCACUGUGAUCACUCAGUCCAGAGAUGUACAUGUGACACAGGUUAGUCCACCACUCCUAUGAGUCUCAGCAGACAUCUCACAAAGAAAUCACCAGUCUGAAGUCCAGAAACAUGGAUCAGAAAGUUAAUCAGGGAGAUGCUCUGCAUAACAGAGUGGAUGAGCUUUAGCCUUCAGCCUUCCCAUUUGCUUUUCUGGGGAUAAAUUCAGACAGAGUUUCUGAAGAAAGGCAGAUCCCUGACUUUUGUUCUCUUCAAAACAAGAAUUAAGAUACAUGCGUUGAAGGAAUAUUGCUGAAGUCACCCAAAGUAUUUCUAAAUAAUUGUCAUGCACUCUCUGGAAUCCGAACUAAUGACUCAAGGCUUCUUUGCUCAGAUAUUUUUGCUAUGGUGGACUUUGGCUGUGAAGCUUCUCAUGCUGGACACUGCAUGAAGAACAUCCACACCAUGCAAAAUUGUACUGUUUUCCCGGCUGGCUUGCAAUGACUGGCAGUGUCUGCAUUGCACAGAUAAGUACAGUUAUUCUUGCCUUUACACAGUGCUGACCUGCACUGCUUCUGAUCCUGGCUUAGCUACCUAGUUUAGGUAUCUGCAUUUUCCUCCCUCACCUGCUGUAAUUAUAUCCACUGCCUAUCUGAACUCACCAUAAUCUUGCUCUUGCUCCCAAAAUGUCAUGGAGAAGGUUGAGGUUUAGAAAGAAAGAAAGUGGAGCCUAAGGCUGAACCUCCCUAGCGAACAUAACUUUAAGCAAUUUGCUUUAGCAAAUCAGACUUUUUACCAAGGUCUUAGGAGCAAUUCAAGGGGCAGUGGUUUUCAAGUGAUAGAUUUAACUUGGACGUAAGGAAUUUUUUACAAUUACAGUGAUGAGACUCUGGAACAGGUUGCCCAGAGGAGUUGUGGGUGGCCCAUCAUUGGAAGUGUUGAAGGUCAGGUUGAAUGAGGCUUUGAGCAAAUUGAUAGUGAAAGAUGUCCCUAGAGGGAAUGAACUAGAUGAUUUUUAAAGGUCAUUUCCAACUCUCACUUUCUCAGUUUCUUCUCCUGCUGUUUAUUGCAUUAGCUCAGGUUGUAAAUGACUAUGUUGUGAUUCUAAAAGUUGUGAUUCAGAGGAGGACCAAUAGCCUACUUCAGGUCAGACUUCUAGUUUACAAGAUAAAUUUCAGGAAAUUACAUUAAAAAUACUGCAAGGGUGUUAUAGUUGAAAAUCAAAUACUUCAAAACUGUGCCAAAAUUGAAGAUAUUUGCUCUUUUUCAAGUAGAGCCAUAUGAGUAUACUACAAUGGUACUUUUAACUGUGUUUUUGAAUGCUAAACACUUUUUUCUUUGCUCCACUGCUGAGGCAAAGUUGUUAAUGAACGAUAGGAUAAAUGCUAGAUAUUUUGGCUCUUAGACAAAAUGGAUUAAAAAUGUCAGAAAGCAAGAAGUGAGAAAACAAGAGAGGAGGGGAGGGGCAUUGCUUGCUCUUCAUUUCACUGGCAGAUGGCAGGGGAUAAAGGGGUGUGAGGGAAAGCAAGCUGGAUAAAGUCAGUAUUGGAUUUGCAUGACUUUGCCUAAGACACCUGUGCUGACCCAUCUGAUUAUUCUGUGUGGGUCAGAAAGGCACCUUCAAACAGUAAGCCUUUUACCCCUACUGGAACAAGAACUUCUCUCACUCUGUUCCCCAUUUUUUUUUUUUUUUUUUUUUUUGCUACUGAAGUGAAAUGGUUAAUUUAUCCUGUGUUUAUGCUUUUGGCUGAAGCACCUAUUCCUAGAGCAGCUACACCCUUCCAGUCUAAUGAUGGGCCAUUAACACCCCAUGGCUUGCAUACCCUGCCUUAGAGGUCCUCACAGCUGGACCUCCUCAGUCCCAGCAACCAACUCCAUCCUCCCACUCACAGAGCAUUCAGGAGCCAAGCUCUCUGCAUACCUAUCCCCCUGCAAAGUCAGAAAGGGACCACUAUUCCACAGCCCAUGGACCAGGCAUGUAGCUUUAAGCCGCAGCCAAAAAUCUGAGUGGGAGGAACACCUGCAGCUGAGCAGAAAUGUGUCAGCAAAAGUGUUCAAACAACAAAUUUUUAUUCCCUGAGAGGGCAAACAUGACCCAUAAAUUGCCAGAUGAUGAAGCAGGAGAGAGAUUUGGGGGUCUGGGAAUGAACGGGAAAUAGAAAAGGGUAGCAAAUAUGCCCACUACUCAGAUAUUCCUUAGUAAGAUAGCUUGGUCCACUGAGGACUAAAACCCUCAAAUUGCCAGUGUAGCAGUUCUCACACACCACGAUUGUUGAGAGGAUUAGAAAGGCCCCAGCAGAUGCCCCACUGUGUAAAUCCUGCUGACAUGCCUUACUUCCCUGGGCCAAUUUGGAAGCAGAGGGGGUGUUUCUGAGUACUGAGGAUAGAGUGAGAUCCCACCUGGAGUACUGGGCACCGUUCAGAUCAUUCCAACAAAAGAAGGACAUGAAACUGUUGGAGCAAUUCCAGAGGACCAUCAAGUUCAUGAGGGGACUGGAGUAGUUUUCCUCUAAGACAAGCUAGGAAAAGUGGGUCUGUUCAAAUUGGAGAAGAGAGGGCUGCAUGGAGGCCUCACAGCAACAUUCCGGGGUCUUAAGUGGGACUACUGGGAAGUCGAAGAGGGAGUCUUUGCUAGAAACUGUAGUGAUAGGACAAGGAGUAAUGGGUACAAACUGAAAGAGGGGAGAUUUAGGUAAGAGCUUUGGAAGAAAUUCUUUACUAUGGGGACAGUUAGGCACUGGAAUGGGUCGCCGAGGGCCAGGUUGUGGCUGCCCUCAACCCUGGCAGUGUUCCAGGCCAGGCUGCAUGAGCCUGGUCUAGCAGGAGAUACCCCUGCCCAUGGCAGCAGGUUUGGGACUAGGGGAUCUUUAAGGUCUACUCCAUCCCCUUAACGUUCUAUGAUUUGAUCCCAUAUCAGGAUUCAGCUGAUGUUUCUUCUCUGGUGUCUCCUGCAGCUGGCCAACAGAUAGUGGCCAAGGGAGCAGGAUUUUGGAAGAAGACCAAAAGUGUCACACGGACUACUGUUUACACAAUUUCUCCAGCCCUUCCUGCUCUCAAGGAAUCACAAUUCUCCCAGACCCAGUAGCUGUUGUACAACCAGCCAUGAUGAUUCUACUGGGCAAUCCUGCUGUGGGAGGAUUGUUUGAACCUCUCCCAGGGCAGGCUGACAGAUGUGUCUUUGGAGGCUUAGAGGACAUCUUGAAGGUUCAUCUGAGGACCUUCCCCUUGGCACUAGGGAAAGCAGCAUUUUAAAAUAUGAUGGAAGAAAAGAGAGGAUAAUUAAAAGAGUCUGAGUACAGGGACAAAAAUAUCAAGGUCAGGUGAAAAAGAUGGGAUGUUGAGGCAGCAGAAAAAUUGGAUAGAUGAAGAAGUCCAGUUGCACAGUCAUGAGAGCUAGUGUACAAUAGCCACAUAAAGGCAUGGACAAAUUUUAUCAUUUUAUAUUGUAUCAGAAUUGAUGCAGGGUUUUAGAUAUCAACACUACCAGGGCAUUGUGUUAUUGUAUGUUUCUUUGGUACAACCUGGAUGACUUCACAAUAAUGCAGUCACCUCAUCAGCAGUUGUUCUGUACUGGUAGGUUGGCCUCACAAUCCUAAUUGAUACCUGGUAAACAAGGAUAAAUGGGGUAUUUGCUUUAAGUGCCACAACAGAACCCGUUACUCUAUCUGUCCACAAGUCCUGUUGGUUGAUUGAUCUGUUUUACUACCAGUUUUUAUCUGCUUUUCCAGGUGUGUGUUUCUUAGAUUAUUGAAUCUAAGCAACCCUUAGAUUUUCUAAGAGGCAAGGGUGGAAAGAAACAGAAAAUCUUAUUGGACUGGUUAAUGAAAAAUAUUUAUGCUUUAUUAUGUAAUUACUGGAGUUGGUACUUAAUUCUGAGUUUCAGUUUAUUGUUUCAAAUUCAAACUAGCUGUGUUUGACUGCUAUAUAAUACUAAGAGGUGAAUUUCAGAUAUCUAUUUUAAUGAAACUAUUUUCAUCAGCACCUUUGUAAGGGUUAUAUGUCUAUUUUGCUUAUCUUUAUAACAAUCAAUGAGAUUCUUUCUGGUGAUUUUAUUUUUCAUUUGAAUUUAUCUUCUAAGGUCAGAUUAUUAAUACUUUUAAUAAUUUCAUUAUUAAUACUUUUAAUAGUUUCACUAUUCAGAAGUCUGCAGUUCACAUUUUGCAUCUGAGAUAACCUUUAAAAUUGUCAAUAUUUUGCUUUAGUAAAUUUAUUUUUUUUGUUCAGAAUAAUGAAGAUUAAUGACAAGAUUCUUUCAAUGACAAUGCUAUCAGUUUUCCAGUCUUCUUUAAUUUUUGUAUUUAAUUGCCCUUUAAUGUUUGCCAGAAAAUUAUACUAAUGGUUUAGAGGUUUCCUCAGCUAGUUGAUGUAAGACUCUUGAACCUAAGACAUCUGAGUUUGUAAAUGUUUAUUUGUCACAGAGACUACCUCACAUCUUCCUUUGUUAUGCAUGGCUAAUUAUUUGAUCUAUCCGUAAUACAUUCAGAAGUAGCUACAGAGCUUGUUUCCUUCCAAAUUCCACUGAAAUACAUACUGGACAUUCCUGCUUUUCCUUGAUCCCACUGCACCAUCCCACUGUCUGAACCUAGCUAUUAACUUUUAAUUAAUUCACUGAGUUUAUUGCUUCUGGAAUAAUUCUAAUUGCCUUAUCAUGAAAAAUUUGUUGAUUUAGUAAAACUCAUUUAUUUGAGUUACUAACCUCAUUACCCACUCAUUCUAUUUGUAUUUUACAGUAAUUUCAUAGUUAUUUUUAAUUCCCUCUCCAUGCGUACAUACACAUACAUGUACUAUAUGCUUGUGUAUGUGUAUGGGUGUAAAUACAAAAUUUAUGUGCUUGCUUUCACCAAGAGGAUCUCUUUUGUAUAUUUUUUGAAUCUGAGGGAUCUUGGCUUCUUGGGCAUCCAGCAAGAUGCUCCUGAAAAAAUCCCAGUUGUUUUAACAGUUCUUCAUUUAAAUGGAUUUUCCCAACUCUAAACUCAGCUGUUCCUCUCAGUUUCAAAAACCUGCAGGUUUUAAAAGAUCCAACAAGAGAUAUUUCAGGUUGGUGACAUAUCCUGUUUGCAUUAAAUAAAUCAAACCUCAUUUCAUUGGGCAAUUUUUCAAUUUUUCAAUUUUUGUAAAAGCCAUUAACUGUUCCUUAUUUAUCAUAAUGAGGUCCAUUAUGGUGAGUAAUUGAUAAUGGACAUUACUGAGUUACUUGAUAUCCCAUGCAGGAUUUCUGUGUUAAGAAAAAAAUCUAUUACUUCUAGAAAUUUCUGAAGUCUACACUGGCUGCAUAGACUGAGAAAAUGAUCUGCAGGAUGCAAGUCACUUUAGGUAACAGAAUUUUCCUUUCUGCUCUUAACAAUCAGAUUUUUUGAGGGGAAACUCCUCUACUUUUGUGAAAUGUGGUAAGCUGUUGCAGAGACCUUCCAGUUUGAUUUUGUUUGUUUAGCUAAUUAGUACUUUAACCACAAACAUUGUGGAGCCCACUCAGUCAUCUAUGACUUUCUAAUCAUAUAGAAAUCACAUUGGAUGCAAAAUAUCACCACCACCUUAUCUGAUUUUCCACUGUAGCUUUUAUGGAACACAUUAGACAUGAAAUACAAUCCUCCAAAAUCCGUUGGACUUACCCCAUCAGGUUUCUCUAUUAUUAAUCACAUAAUUUCUUUUCUCCUACAUGACCAUUUCCAACUACCCUUAUUGACUCUCCAGGCUCCACACAAUUGUACUCAUAUUACCUCUCAGCAUACUUACUUGCUUUUUGUUUUGUCAUAAAAAAUGAUGUUUUUAUUUGGCCUAUGUGCUUGGAUAUGUAUGUCUUGUUCUGUCAUCAUGAUUCUCUCCUUUCAUGUAGUUUGAGUAGAUUAAGUCUUCCUGACUACUUCAUCUGUCAACCAGAGCCCUGGUACCUAUUUUGCUAAAAUUAAAGCCAUAAUACCAUGCAAUCUUUUAUUUCUAUAGAGGUCACCCUGCUGUUUUAUUGAACCAAAAUCUUCUCUUACUUCACCUACCACCACUACUAUUGAAUUCCAUUGUCUUCUGCCUGUUUUUUAAUUUUGCUUGAAAAAAAGAAGUUUAAGGUUUUUAAAGUAUCACUUGGGGUAGCUUUUUUAUCCUUUUCUCAGCUGCCUGGUUGAUUAAUGUUUUUAGUGGCUGAAAAAUUACCUGAAACAAAUAAAUAAUUAUGUCUUCAAAGCUCUUUAAUUGCCUUUAGUGCUUCCUGUUGGAUGGGAGAAAUCAUCCUGUUGUGGAAUACAUCUUAGUCACAUGCUCAAGAUAUUUCUGGGGCACUUUUGUGUACUCUAGUUUGAGCCAAACAUCAGCUCUCUGAAUUUCCCUCUGCUAAACUAAACAUUAGCUCUUACAGGCUGUUAUUUUCUGAUGCCUCACACACUACCAGGUAGUAAUUUGGUACUUCCAGCUGGGAGCAAUAGGCUCCAGAGACUCUCAAAAGGUAGAGUGAAAACAGACUAAUAUUUGUAGUAUCUUGCUUGACUCAAUUGCUUGUCAUUGGGAAACUGGAAGAUCUGCUGUGGUACCGACUGAGCUGAUCCACUGGGGAAUCCCACACCUGCACAGUAUAUGAACUUCAGUAUCACAAAUUCCUUCCCCACUUUGGCUACCAGAGUGAACCUCAUGUAGAGAUGAAAUCAUUUCUAUUCACAAGGAAGGAUACAGAUAAUACUAGAUUUGGUGUUGGUCACAGAAAAUGAUGACUAUUCAUCUUUGUUGCUAUAGCAAAACCACAUGUAUACAGCAAAACUUAUAAACACUGUUCUGCAAGUUCUGAUGGAAACUGUGCUGCUAACUCCUCUAUUUAUAUUUCACGGUGUCUGUUUCAGCUAGCUUUUAUUCAUUGUUCAAGUCAAUCCCAUCAUGUGUCAAGAAUUGUCAGCCAAGUUCAAACACCAGAGGAAGAGCACACACCUCAGGCAGUAUGCGUAAAAACCAGCAAUGCAUUCCUGUAAUUGUUCAUGAAACUUCCAAACAGGAGGGUUUUACCAGGCCAUAUAUCCAGCCCUUUCCUCUCACAAUGAGCUACUGCUUGAACUCUGCCUUUGGUCUCUGCCUGUUUGUCGCCCUGGCUGCUCUAUGGCUUGGUUCUACUCCUUGUUGUGGGAGCAUUUUGAAAUCAUUACGCCUUUAUUUUCUGAGAAGCAAGAUUUAUAGGGAAGGUAAUAUCCUUUAUUAGACUGUUUGGUUCAUUUGGAAAAAAUGGGCAUUCUUGUGGGGUCAGAGUCCCUUCAUUACACUUGUUUUCUGCCUGCUUGGUUUUUCCAUGUCUGAAAGAACUGCUUAGAGAAAGCAGGCCUGCUCAUUUUGUUCCUUUUGGUUGCUACAUUUUCUUCCAGAGUAAUAGAGAGAACACAUGUACUUGUGUUAUUUUGUGGGGACUUGUGUUCUUUUGCGGAGACUUGUGUGCUUGUUUUUCCAAAAUCCAAAAUAAAAAUAAUAAAACCAAUUUUAGGCCAAACAUCUGUAUUUUGGCCCUGGUGUAUGGAAACCUCAAUGCCUCCAGGUUUUUUGGAAAAAGUCCUGGACUGAUAUGAUCAACUUCUCUUUUUCUUAGAGGAAAAAUAAAAAUCUGCUUUACCAGUUACAUAAGAGGGAGAGAAAAACCCUAUGGAGACUAGCAAGAUAUAUGUAUUGAUUUAAAAAUGACAAAUAGAAACAUUCCAAAUAUUUGCAAAUUAUUUCUUCUGCUGCUCACAACCCGACUAAUAGAGAAACAAUCUGUAUUGAGUAACAGACUGUAGGUUUUGAAUAGUUUUAAGGUCUAAUGCAGUCCUGAAUUCCAGAUCCAUGCAACUUCUCAGCUAUCUAGCAGAGUUAUAUAAGUUUUAACUGAUUUAAAUACCAAUAUAUUUUUGCUUGACAGCAUGGCCUCUACAUAGUGGGCAAAGAGUUCUUACACUCUUCUAGUAAUUCCAUUCUAUGUUUUUCUCACUCUGUUUACUUCUCCCUGAAAUGACCGUGACCUUCUGCCAGAUUUUCUUGAAGGUUAUGCUAAUCUUUGUUGGCAAGAGAAACAGUAGCUGGAGCGAAAAAAGUGAAAGAGAAUGCCACAUGAGAAUGAACAGCAUGCGGAGCGUGAGAAGUUUCUGCAAUAACUGGAACUGGAGCAGCCUUGUCAGCAUGCAGUCCCUGGAGCAGUAAGUGGGGAUCUACACACUGGAACGUUCAAGAAUGAAACGUUAAUUAACAUUCAGAAGGUGGUAUCACAGAUGUCUCUGAUGAAGAUGUGCUUCCACAUUGGAUAUCUUCCUUACUUCAUGGUCCAAGGAAGAGUUGAUCUUAAAACACUCUUGAUCUGUGCUGGACAGAAAAAUGUGAAGAACCGCGACUCCUCCUGCAGUGGACAUUUGCAGAAGUAAACAGCCAUGAACAGCAGGGAUCAAAAGCUGCGCAGCCCCUGCAGAGCUUCUUGGGGGUUUACUACAAAUUUUAAUUAUAAUUUUGACAAAAUAAAAAUCUAACCUGUAGUGAUUGGCAGUUAUCUGGAUUUGACUGAGUUGAGAGCUGUCAUUACUUUUUUUAUAGAAUCGUAGAAUAUUUUGCAUUGGAAGAGAGCUGAAAGAUCAUCUGGCUCCAGCCCCCUUUGCCAUGGAGCAACCAAGACCUGCUUGCUCAAAACCCCAUCCAAGAUGGCCUUGAGUCCCUAUGUCAUUUUAGUUUGGUUUUUAUACAUAAAUUGUCAAAGUUUUAUAACAUGCUCCUGUACAUUUAAUUUUUGGAGUCCUCUGGAGGACAAAUCGCAUUUUUCUGCCCCCAGAUGUGACCACGACCACCCCAAAAUUUCCUGUGAGAGGUAUUGCUAACAGACCUCAGGCAAAAGAAGUCAUGAGAAGGUGGCUUUCCAAGUGAAUCCAGCCAAUGAACAUCAGGACAAAAAGUGAUAGCUCUUGGCUGCCAAAAUGAAACAUAGAUCCUAAAUGAUUGAAUCUGAACACUUCAAGAAAGAUUUAACAAAGGUAAAAUCCUAUAUCCUAUAUCAAUCCUAUUAUUUAAUAAUGUUGGAAACCAACAACUAGGUAAUAAGUUUGAGAAAAGAGUCUUAUUCACAAUAACCUGCUGUCAGUAACUUGACUUAAUUCUGUGUAUUCAUUAAUAGUUAUACUUGAUCAGAGCACUUUGAAAUAAGAUAACAAAUCUUUUCCUAUUUUAUCUGAGAAGGCAGAAGGGACAGGCUCUUCAUAGCAAAAGUUAAAGGAAGCAUUGGCAUAACUUGGAGUUUUGAACUCCAGUCCCUAAAGUGCCCUGAGUAGUCCUCCAUGGAGGGCUUUUGACAACUUUUGAUAACUUUGCAUCAGCACUUCUGCCUCCUGCCCUCUUUCACAGAUACACCUACAGAUAUAUAGGCACCUUGAACUUCAGUCCCAAAAUUUAUAGGCUGUGGGAUGAGGUGGAGUUAGAAAAACUUAAGUUCCUUUUUCAUGGUGACUGGUUUGUGCUCUUGGACUGAGAUCUCUGUGCUACAUCUUUCUGAAGCAUAACAAAUGUUUGGUUUUUUUUCUGACCAGCAUUCUGAUAUCUAUGAUGCUCAGAAUAUGGUGUUCCUGAAAGACAGAAGAGAGGAUAUAUUUUUUCCCUUUUGCCCUACAAUUGCCUUUUUAUUCUAUAUGCGUAUUUUAUAACACUUACACCUCGUGCUUUGAGGUUUCCAUAGGGUUACAGACUUGGCAGAGGCCUGAAAGACUAACUCACACGAAGUCUGAUUUCACUAUCUCUCUGUUGUGAUUUCCAGUUUUCUGAGCCACCCUAGGCAAACUUUUCCUGAAUUGUGGAAUGGUUUGUUUGAUCUAACUCUACAUUGCUUGGAAGUAAGGCUAUUAGUUUUGGCUUGUAAUUGUA